rnacentral:lncRNA from 1 species
AGAACGUAGACCCAGGCUCCAUCAGGACCAGGGGAGGCAGGCAGAAUGUCCUGCCCCCAGACCCUGCUGGAGGAGAACGUAGACCCAGGCUCCAUCAGGACCAGGGGAGGCAGGCAGAAUGUCCUGCCCCCAGACCCUGCUGGAGGAGAACGUAGACCCAGGCUCCAUCAGGGGAGGCAGGCAGAAUGUCCUGCCCUCAGACCCUGCUGGAGGAGAACUCAGACCCAGACUCCAUCAGGACCAGGGGAGGCAGGCAGAAUACCCUGCCGCGACACUGUCUGAGCAACUCUUCGUCCUGGAGAUUCCCCCCCUCCCCGACUAGCAGCCUUCACACUGGAGACAGAUCACAUCUCUGGUGAAUGAGAUCUAUGACAGCAAGUCUUUUACAUAAACCUCUCUCUGUAGUCAACACAUACAGUCAAAGUACAAGUUAACAUUGUACAUAGACAGGUUCUGUUGAGUGAGUUGCGUAGGUACUCACAGGUGAACACAGUACUCACAGGUGAACUUAGUACUCACAGAUUAACUCAUGGGUGAACACAGUACUUGUAGAUUAACUCAGAUUAAAUGGGUUAACACAGUACUCGCGGGUUAACACAGUACUCGCGGGUUAACACAGUACUCGCGGGUUAACACAGUACUCGCGGGUUAACACAGUACUCGCGGGUUAACACAGUACUCGCGGGUUAACACAGUACUCGCGGGUUAACUGAUGACUGUAAGGUGAUGACUGUGUGUGUUUGCACGUGCAUAGAAUCAACCCUGUAGACAGAAGUCACCUCAGCAGCAGUAGCCUCCAGUUUGGUCUAGCGGGCUAAAAGGACAUUUAUUUGUCAAGUCCUGUUCCAUGUUUUCUCUUUUUAAAUAAACUGUUUGGUAACUGCUGCUGAGUGUAUGAAGGAGGUAGGGCGUCGAUAGUAAAUGUAUUUAAAACUUCUGAUUUAUGCUGUG